UUGAUAACAUCCAUGGACAACCCAUGCAAAAUAAGAAACAGCAGACGAGAGCGUACUUUGACAAGCAAAAUAUUUGGGUGAAUUUCCUCCUGUAUAUUUGGAGAAGCUCAGGACUUGGAAUUCUCUGAAGCAUAAACUAGCUCUUCUUCCUCUCCCCAGAGAACCCGUGACGUUUCCAUUAAUGAGUAUAAAAGUGAAGACUGGAUAAAUUGGUGAAAUAUCUUAAGUAAACCACAUGAAAUUGAAUGCAAAAAUACAAAUUAUGAUGUGCGGAUGGAAAAAUAUCACGUACAAAUAUAAAGAAGUGACCAUAGUAUUUACAGAGCAUGGAGAAAGGCAGUGGAGAGUCAUAAGGAGGGCAUUUGCGUCAAGGUAUUGCCUCAG